GUUUCGUUGAAGAUCUAGAAUUAAUUAACGUAUUUACCAGUACUUUUCUUCAAUUUUUAGUUUGGUUCGAAUUCAAUUGGAGUAUACAUCUUUAUUAUGCUUUGAUUUUUCUUAUAAUCGAGGGGCCUGUGGUCAAACCGAUUUUGGAGGUCUCUCCAGAUUCUCAUUUUCUCUUUCCUCCAAUUAGGUUAAUCCUGAUGCUAUGGCUCAUAUUUGCUUGAUGGCUGCCCCUCUUCACCGUCGUGCCAAGGUCGUUAUGAUCUCAACCCUUUCGAAGAAGAAGUAGAGGUCAAUCCCUUCAUUUUGGGUUAGACUCUUUGUGCUACGUUUAAGGCUGUUAAUGGAGCAAGGGCAUUCAAAACGACGUCGUGGGAUGAAAUUUCCUCUGAAAUACUACCUGAUGGUAAAAGGGUUUACUUAGAUGAGCAAGAUAUUGUCACAUUUCUUGACCCUCCGAAAGAACUCAUUCCUUUGGACCCUUCUUAUAAUCCUGCUUCAUAUCUCUGGAAGAAAAUUUCGGAAAUCCCGGAUGAAAGACGACAUCGAUUGCUACACCUCCUGGAUCCUAGGUAUUACUUGCCUGAAUUCAUCCUCUAAAAUACCCUUCUGUCGUUGUUAUCAAUACUUGCUGAAUGUUGAGCCUCUCUCUUCCCCUCUGACUUUUCUCUCUCCUCAACCCUCACCAAAUCGCGUCCCUCUAGGGUUGGACUUCCUGCGGUUGCACUUCCUCGCCGUCGUCCCUCGCGCAAUCGCGUCCCAAUCGCCUCCAUCCUCAAUCGCUUCCCACCGUCGACAAUUUCAGUUUUGAAUGAUUUUCUGGAUAUGUUUAGUGUGAAGAUAUUGUUUCCAUUUUCUUAUUGUUCAAAUUCUUAGCGCAGAUCCCUAAAUCCUACAAUUUCUAGGUUAUUGGAUUUUAUAGUUAAUAUUGAUCUUUAGCAAUUUAAUUAGAAAAAUCGCGUGUACUCUUUUUUCUUUACGUUAAUUUUUGUUGUUGUUUGCUGAAAUUCGUGGAAAUAUGAUAUUUUUGAAGUAAUUAAAUUGGAGUAUACAUCCUAAUGUUACCCGGAGUUUGGUUGGCACCUUCAGCUUCUUGGCUCUCGGUUUGCUCUCGGUUUCUUCUAUCCCUUAAGGUGUCUCACAUCGUAUGCUAAUGAUUUGAGCCGCGAGUCCACUGUUGAUAUUGUGGGUGUUGAGAGGUGCCUUUAAUGGGUUCACUAGGAACAGAAAUAACAACCUCAGGUUGAGAUUCAAGUGAGGAAGAUUUACUGUAUUAACAGAGCUGUAUCAACACGUACUGCCGAUUAAUAUUGAGGAUGCGGCCCGGAAGCGAUGUCGAGAUUGAAGAAGCUUUGAAGUUAUGUAAAAUAACAACCAGAUUGUUGAAUAAAAAAUGAUGCGACUGGUCCAAGAACAGCAGGAUGGUUGCCUGGUCGGUCUGUAUACUGUUUAGCAGUUCUCAAAUCUGACAGUGGCGUAGAUGAUAUAAACGUAGUUGGAGAGAACUUCAUGACUGGCUAUCGCAUUGUUUUUGAUCAUGAGAGGAUGGUGUUCGGAUGGAAGGCACACGACUGUAAUUACACUUUUAUUUCAGUAUGGAACUGUUAGAAAGAAGCUCCUUUCAAUCUUUUCAGUAUGGAAGUUCUUCGUAGUUAACUAAGUAUUUUGUGAUGGCAUCAGGUGGUGAAGUUGUACAUGUCAGUCCAAGACCUCCAUUUUAUGGGCCACCCAUGCCUGGGAAUAUCUCCUUUACCAUGAGCUUUAGCACACUUCUUUCUGUUCUGAAUAAAAAAUAUUUGUGUCAAAUUCUCGAUUCCUUGCUCUAUAAUGUCUGUAUUUUGAAUAUGCUUGGAAGAUCUCCUUUUGGAUCAGGCGCACCAUCAAAUUUCAAAGAUGUAUUAGCUUUAAAUUUCAUCUACUAUUAGCUUCAAAGAUGUAUUAUUUUCUAUCA